CCUACGGGGGGCUGCAGUGAGGAAUAUUGGUCAAUGGGCGUAAGCCUGAACCAGCCAAGUAGCGUGAGGGAUGAAGGCUCUAUGGAUCGUAAACUUCUUUUAUAAGGGAAUAAAGUGCGGGACGUGUCCCGUUUUGUAUGUACCUUAUGAAUAAGGAUCGGCUAACUCCGUGCCAGCAGCCGCGGUAAUACGGAGGAUCCGAGCGUUAUCCGGAUUUAUUGGGUUUAAAGGGUGCGUAGGCGGCUUUUUAAGUCAGCGGUGAAAGUUUGUGGCUCAACCAUAGAAUUGCAGUUGAAACUGGGAGGCUUGAGUAUGUUUGAGGCAGGCGGAAUUCGUGGUGUAGCGGUGAAAUGCUUAGAUAUCACGCAGAACCCCGAUUGCGAAGGCAGCCUGC
rnacentral:rRNA from 1 species